rnacentral:pre_miRNA from 1 species
GUGUGUGGAUGGUGUUCAGCAACAAGGACGUGGGAGCUUACCUGUGUGCGAAUGGUGGUCAGCACCAGGGACAGGUGUUUUUGUGU